rnacentral:rRNA from 1 species
CCUACGGGGGGCUGCAGUGAGGAAUAUUGGUCAAUGGGCGCAAGCCUGAACCAGCCAAGUCGCGUGAGGGAUGACGGUCCUAUGGAUUGUAAACCUCUUUUGUCGGGGAGCAAGGCCCGCCACGUGUGGCGGGAAGGAGAGUACCCGAAGAAAAAGCAUCGGCUAACUCCGUGCCAGCAGCCGCGGUAAUACGGAGGAUGCGAGCGUUAUCCGGAUUUAUUGGGUUUAAAGGGUGCGUAGGCGGAAGGUUAAGUCAGCGGUAAAAUGUCGGUGCUCAACACCGGCCUGCCGUUGAAACUGGUCUUCUUGAGUGAGCGAGAAGUAUGCGGAAUGCGUGGUGUAGCGGUGAAAUGCAUAGAUAUCACGCAGAACUCCGAUUGCGAAGGCAGCAUACCGGCGCUCAACUGACGCUGAGGCACGAAAGCGUGGGGAUCGAACAGGAUUAGAUACCCCAGUAGUC